CAAAACGCUGGCGGCGUGCCUAAUACAUGCAUCUCGAGCGGACGGAAGGGAGCUUGCUCCCCGAUGUUAGCGGCGGACGGGUGAGUAACACGUGGGUAACCUGCCUGUAAGACUGGGAUAACUCCGGGAAACCGGAGCUAAUACCGGAUAGUUCCUUGAACCGCAUGGUUCAAGGAUGAAAGACGGUUUCGGCUGUCACUUACAGAUGGACCCGCGGCGCAUUAGCUAGUUGGUGAGGUAACGGCUCACCAAGGCGACGAUGCGUAGCCGACCUGAGAGGGUGAUCGGCCACACUGGGACUGAGACACGGCCCAAACUCCUACGGGAGGCAGCAGUAGGGAAUCUUCCGCAAUGGACGAAAGUCUGACGGAGCGACGCCGCGUGAGUGAUGAAGGUUUUCGGAUCGUAAAGCUCUGUUGUUAGGGAAGAACAAGUGCAAGAGUAACUGCUUGCACCUUGACGGUACCUAACCAGAAAGCCACGGCUAACUACGUGCCAGCAGCCGCGGUAAUACGUAGGUGGCAAGCGUUGUCCGGAAUUAUUGGGCGUAAAGGGCUCGCAGGCGGUUUCUUAAGUCUGAUGUGAAAAGCCCCCGGCUCAACCGGGGAGGGUCAUUGGAAACUGGGAAACUUGAGUGCAGAAGAGGAGAGUGGAAUUUCCACGUGUAGCGGUGGAAUGCGUAGAGAUGUGGAGGAACACAGUGGCGAAGCGACUCUCUGGUCUGUAACUGACGCUGAGAGCGAAGCGUGGGGAGCGACAGGAUAAAUCCUGGUAGUCCCGCCGUAACGAUGAGUGGCUAGUGUUAGGGGGUUUCUGCCUUUAAGGGUGGCGCUAACCAUUAAGCCCUCUCCUUGGGGGAGUCGGUCCAAGAAUGAAUCCAAGGAAUGGACGGGGGCCCGCCAACGGUGGACUGGGGUUUUUCGAGCACGGGGAACUUACAGGCUGCAUCUCUGCACCUAGAAGAAGGGUU
rnacentral:rRNA from 1 species